rnacentral:rRNA from 1 species
CCUACGGGUGGCAGCAGUGAGGAAUAUUGGUCAAUGGACGAGAGUCUGAACCAGCCAAGUCGCGUGAAGGAUGACUGCCCUAUGGGUUGUAAACUUCUUUUAUAUGGGAAUAAAAUGUUCCACGUGUGGGAUUUUGUCUGUACCAUAUGAAUAAGGAUCGGCUAACUUCGUGCCAGCAGCCGCGGUAAUACGGAGGAUCCGAGCGUUAUCCGGAUUUAUUGGGUGUAAAGGGAGCGUAGGUGGAUUGUUAAGUCAGAUGUGAAAGUUUGCGGCUCAACCGUAAAAUUGCAGUUGAAACUGGCAGGCUUGAGUGCAGUAGAGGUGGGCGGAAUUCGUGGUGUAGCGGUGAAAUGCUUAGAUAUCACGAGGAACUCCGAUUGCGAAGGCAGCUCACUGGACUGCAACUGACACUGAGGCUCGAAAGUGUGGGGAUCAAACAGGAUUAGAUACCCUUGUAGUC